GACGAACGCUGGCGGCGCGCCUAACACAUGCAAGUCGAACGAUAGAGAAUGAGCUUGCUUCUUCUAUCGAGUGGCGAACGGGUGAGUAACGCGUUGAGGAACCUGCCUCACAGAGGGGGACAACAGUUGGAAACGACUGCUAAUACCGCAUAAGCCCACGGGUCGGCAUCGACCUGAGGGAAAAGGAGCAAUCCGCUUUGAGAUGGCCUCGCGUCCGAUUAGCUAGUUGGUGAGGUAACGGCCCACCAAGGCAACGAUCGGUAGCCGGACUGAGAGGUUGAACGGCCACAUUGGGACUGAGACACGGCCCAGACUCCUACGGGAGGCAGCAGUGGGGAAUAUUGCACAAUGGGGGAAACCCUGAUGCAGCGACGCCGCGUGGAGGAAGAAGGUCUUCGGAUUGUAAACUCCUGUUGUUGAGGAAGAUAAUGACGGUACUCAACAAGGAAGUGACGGCUAACUACGUGCCAGCAGCCGCGGUAAAACGUAGGUCACAAGCGUUGUCCGGAAUUACUGGGUGUAAAGGGAGCGCAGGCGGGAAGACAAGUUGGAAGUGAAAUCUAUGGGCUCAACCCAUAAACUGCUUUCAAAACUGUUUUUCUUGAGUAGUGCAGAGGUAGGCGGAAUUCCCGGUGUAGCGGUGGAAUGCGUAGAUAUCGGGAGGAACACCAGUGGCGAAGGCGGCCUACUGGGCACCAACUGACGCUGAGGCUCGAAAGUGUGGGUAGCAAACAGGAUUAGAUACCCUGGUAGUCCACACCGUAAACGAUGA
rnacentral:rRNA from 1 species